GGAUAACUUACUCGUGAGGCUGAAGUGGAGAGAUAGGAUAGCAGUUCAGAGCAAAGAGUGAAUGACAAGACACGGAACAGCUUGCCCUCUUAUCUAACAGGGCUGCCUUGAUCCCUGUAGUUCCUGAUCACCACCUCCCGUAGGGUGCUCCUGCAGCCACCUUCAUCGCUAACCACAGCCAGACUCUGCCUCCUCAAACCUCAGAGACAGGAAGAAGUGCACUCAUCGGAGAGGAUCAAUUACUCCCUCCCGAGCACCAGUCUGGAGAAAGCUCUGAGCAACAUUCAUCACUGGCUCUGAACUGUGCCUAAUAUUUCAGACUGUUUAGGAGCUCAUGCAAAUGGUUAUCUUUAAAGAUGUAUCAAAUUAGAGGAAAAACGGAUAAUACCCUGGAAUUAAAAUUCAUUUACCCUCAGUAAAAUUCCAUCAGUUCAAUCAGUGAGUAUUUCCUUUUGCUAAUUAACUCUUCAGUUAUGUAGCUCAUGCUAUCCAGUUCCCACACAGAAUAACUACAAUCCUAGAUUCCACUGCUUGC
rnacentral:lncRNA from 1 species